UGGUGGAGUGAUUUGUCUGCUUAAUUGCGUUAACGAACGAGACCUUAACCUGCUAAAUAGUCCUGCUGAUCCUCGGAUAAGCAGCCGACUUCUUAGAGGGACUUCACUGCUUUUAGCGUGAGGAAGUUUGAGGCGAUAACA
rnacentral:rRNA from 1 species